CAGAGAGGGGGCUUCUGGGGACCAGCUCCCUGGGUUUGGGGAGAAAAGCGUUAUCUGGCCGUGACUUUGGGGGCUGGAAGAGAAGCUCCACAGAGCAGCCAACAGCCUGGUUAUUCCUGGGAGGUUGCAGGACUCUCAGGAGGUCCCCUGCUUCCUCAAGUCCAGCGUUGGAGCCACACGUCUGCCUGGAGACUUGGCUCCUAGGCCCCGGAGGGGGCUGUCACGGUGCCCCGGACUGCCAGUGCCCAGGUGGAGGCUGGGAGCCUCAGUUUCUCUGCCUGCAAAAGGGAAAUGGUGGCUCUCCAGUCGCUGGGCUGCCAUGGGAAGCGAUGAGAUGAUGCCUGAGGCGGGGAAGCGGCAGAAGGCGGUCCAGCCCACCAGGGAGGCAGUUGUCUGGGCUUCCAGGGGCUGAGGCUGCCCUGAAGACGCCUUUCUGGAGGUGGCCUUGAGCCAAGCCCUAUUGUCACACACGAGAAGAGGCUGGAGGAAAACACACCUGCCUGGGUCACUGUCCGAGAGCUGGAAUCCCUCAGGGUUGGGCCCGAGGCAUCCGCUCGUGGGCUGUGCUUCCUCGCUGCUGCGUGGGGCUCACCACGCCACUCGCCCGCUCUCUGGUGGGUGGUGUUUGGGUCGCCCCUGUAGGGGGUGCGGCUGAGAACACUCCGGUCGCAUCUUCGGUGCACACAUACCAAGAACACGUGUGGUGCUGUGAUGCGUGUUCCUGUCCCGAGGGCUGUGUUUGGGCUCCUUUGCCCGAGCAGCCAUGGUGGGGGUGUCUCCUGUGGCCGGAAGCCUCCUGGAGGGGCUGGUUCUGGUGGCCCGUCCCUACUGUCCGGGGGGUCCAGCCUCGCAGGGGGCAUGAGGCCCCAGCCUGGCGGGAAGUGGCCUGGGAGGCUCUGUGUUUCCACGGCACAUGGGACCCGCCACGCACCUCCCAGCCCCCAUGGCUUCCCCCAAGUCCUUAGGACCUGUCCCUGCAGGUCACUGGGGCAGUGGGGGGGUGGAGCGGUUUGGGGGUUUGCCCCAGGAGGUGAGCUCCUGGGGCCUCGCUCGGUGGCCGUUGGCACAGGACGGAUUAGCAGCUGGACGUGAAGGCCAGAGCCGGGAGCCGCCCAGGAACCAGGCCCAGGAGGCAGAAGCAAGCUCUGGUCUGCACCCUGCGUGUCUUUGGGGCCCGUGUUCCUUUUCAGCCCCCGCAGGGCUGUCUGUCCCCUGGGCCCCUCCCCCGCCCCCCACCCCGUGCUCCCGAUCUCUCCCUCCCACUCGCUUCCCACAUCCCAUUAUCAACCUCCUCUCUGCGCCUGGUGGUUUCUGCGAGGUGGGAAGGGGCGUCCAGGUUUGGACCCCUGGGGGGCCAGGAGAGGGUGGCGAGUGGGGGGACGAGUGUGUUUUAAAUACAAAA